AGAGUUUGAUCCUGGCUCAGGACGAACGUUGGCGGCGCGCCUAACACACGCAAGUCGAACGCCCCGUACCGUAAGGUAUAGGGAGUGGCGGACGGCUGAGUAAUACUGGAGAACUUACCCUAAAGUAGGGCAUAGCUCAUCGAAAGAUGGGGUAAUACCCUAUAGUCUCAAUGCAUUUAUGUUAUUGAGUAAAGAUUUUUCGCUUUAGGAGAGGCUCCUGGCCUAUCAGCUUGUUGGUGAGGUAAUUGCUCACCAAGGCUACGACGGGUAGCUGGUCUGAGAGGAUGAUCAGCCAGACCGGGACUGAGACACGGCCCGGACUCCUACGGGAGGCAGCAGUUGGGAAUCUUGCGCAAUGGACGAGAGUCUGACGCAGCGACGCCGCGUGCGGGACGAAGGUCUUCGGGCUGUAAACCGCUUUUUUAGAGGAAUAAUUUUUGAAGGUACUCUAAGAAUAAGCACCGGCUAAACACGUGCCAGCAGCCGCGGUAAUACGUGUGGUGCAAACGUUGUCCGGAAUUACUGGGCGUAAAGAGUACGUAGGUGGUUUAAGUAGUCUCCAAUUAAAGACCAAGGCCUAACCUUGGGAGUGUUGGAGAAACCAUUAAACUUGAGGAUCGCAGGGGCUAGCGGAACGAUCGGUGUAGGAGUGGAAUCCGUUGAUAUCGAUCGGAACACCAAAGGCGAAGGCAGCUAGCUAGGCGAACCCUGACACUGAGGUACGAAAGCGUGGGCAGCGAAUGGGAUUAGAUACCCCAGUAGUCCACGCCGUAAACUAUGUAGACUCGAGCUUGGGGAGAAUCGACCCUCCUUUGGCUCAAAGCAAACGCGUAAGUCUACCGCCUGGGGAGUACGAGCGCAAGCUUAAAACUCAAAGGAAUUGGCGGGGAGACGCACAAGCGGUGGAGCGUGUGGUUUAAUUCGAUACUAAGCGAAGAACCUCACCCACUCUUGACAUCCUAGGAAUCCUCUGGAGACAGAGGAGUGCCGCAAGGAGCCUAGUGACAGGUGAUGCACGGUCGUCGUCAGCUCGUGCCGUGAGGUGUUCGGUUAAGUCCGUUAACGAGCGCAACCCUUACCAUUAGUUGUAUUCUCUAAUGGGACUGCCCUUGUAAAGGGGAGGAAGGUAGGGAUGACGUCAGAUCAGCGUGUCUCUUACGAGUGGGGCGACACACGCGCUACAAUGGCCAGUACAAUGGGCAGCCAAACCGUGAGGUGGAGCUAAUCUCAUCAAAACUGGUCCAAGUUCGGAUUGAAGGCUGAAACUCGCCUUCAUGAAGUUGGAAUCGCUAGUAACGGCCGGUCAGCCAUACGGCCGUGAAUACGUUCUCGUCUCUUGCACACACCGCCCGUCACACCACGAAAGCCGGAGGUACCCGAGCUUUCAUUUUUUAAUGGAAUUACGGUAAAUUCGGUGAUCAGGGUGAAGUCGUAACAAGGUA
rnacentral:rRNA from 1 species